rnacentral:rRNA from 1 species
GGGCGUAAGAGCUCGUAGGUCGUUUGUCGCGUCGAUUGUGAAAAUCUGAGGCUCAACCUCAGACCUGCAGUCGAUACGGGCAAACUAGAGUGUGGUAGGGGAGACUGGAAUUCCUGGUGUAGCGGUGGAAUGCGCAGAUAUCAGGAGGAACACCAAUGGCGAAGGCAGGUCUCUGGGCCAUAACUGACACUGAGGAGCGAAAGUGCGGGGAGCGAACAGGAUUAGAUACCCUGGUAGUCCGCACCGUAAACGGUGGGCACUAGUUGUGGGAACCUUCCACGGUUUCCGCGACGCAGCUAACGCAUUAAGUGCCCCGCCUGGGGAGUACGAUCGCAAGAUUAAAACUCAAAGGAAUUGACGGGGCCCCGCACAAGCAGCGGAGCAUGCGGCUUAAUUCGACGCAACGCGAAGAACCUUACCAAGGCUUGACAUAUAGCGAAAAGUGGCAGAGAUGUCAUGUCCGCAAGGGCGCUAUACAGGUGGUGCAUGGUUGUCGUCAGCUCGUGUCGUGAGAUGUUGGGUUAAGUCCCGCAACGAGCGCAACCCUCGUUCUGUGUUACCAGCAUUCAGUUGGGGACUCACAGGAGACUGCCGGGGUCAACUCGGAGGAAGGUAAU